UCUCGGUGGGUGUGUUCGCGUUCGCAGAGUUCACUCACACAAACGUAAAGCUAUCCCCGCAUCCUUCGAUCAACAAUAGUAACUAGAUUUCGGGUCGGUGCAUAAAAUCCGUCUCGUCAAAUAACAGCGCACUUGAAAUGUGAGCUCUUAUUUUGUUUAGUUCACUUCAAACAGAGCCAAUGUCAACCCGUCUCACAAUACCGCAGUGUGUAUUCAAAAGUUGCAAAAAUAAGGCCCGAAAAAGCAAUUUAACGGCCGGAGUAUCUUACUUUCGCUUUCCUAGCAAUCACGUGUGCAGAAUGGAUCUCGAUUGUCGCCAGAGAAACAAGAGAUGACUUUUAUAAGCCAGCUAAGAACUCCGCUUAUUGACACUAGACAUCUUUGCCUUCCGUGCUCACGGCUACUGAAAUGUGGCCGAAACAUUGUAAUAAAAAUACCACGCUUGAAACCGUUUAAA